AGAAUAUUUUCAUCACGUGGAACAUAAUGGAACAUUCGGCGUAUGUCGGGCAUUGAGGGAAUACAGAAUGUGCCAGAACUUCAUCGCAGUCUCCCAUUAUGGCACUAGACACGUUUCCACUUCCAUCGAUUAAUGAUGGAAGUUUUCUCGCGCGCGAAAUGUAGUAUUACUGCUGCAAUUGGUAUGAUUCACAUUGGUUUUCGUAUGUCCUGUGGUAUAAAUGUUUAAACUAUGAUGGACAUUUCAAUUAACUCAGCUCUGUGAAAUUUUUUGGAAUCAAAAUGUUAAUCUAUCUAGAAUGUACAUGUAGUGAUUUCCAGCUCCAGUUUGUCGGAAGAAAAAUGGCGCAUGAGCAUUUCCCGUGAUGGAUUACAUGUGUCAGGUUACAUUUAGCUUCAUAAAGCUGGUGCCAAGCAGGAUGUCUGUGGAUAAUUCAGAUAACAGUUUGACCGUGUGUUCAUUGAUUCUGUAUUCUUCUUUCCAUGCGACCUUCACAUUUCCAUGGUUUCUGCUGAAUCUGAACGGGAUUUUCUUAUAGUUGUGCUUUGGCCAGGAAUCCAAUGCCUCAGGAGCCAACGAAACAUAUUUAUCAAAUUCUUGUGUUGUUGGAAACCAAUGGUUGUCUUUUCUAUUUUUGUGCCCAUGUUACCGAUGAGAUCACCAUGAAGACUUAGCUGCUUAAGGUACGCCACCGAUAUCUAGAGGCGUCAAACCAUCGUAAACUGGGGAAAAUUACUCAAAGACUAACAUAUAUUUCAAAAAAAUCCACUGGGAAUAUUGAUUUUCCCAAUGUAAUAAUUAUGCGCAAUCACAAUUUAUCCACUAGGAUGCUGAGCUUAAUAUCUUUUGAUUUUUGUGUAAUGUGUGCAUUUACAAAAAUAUUUUUGAGCGAGGCUCUUUAGGUGCGGGACGGUUGUCGUUUUUACACGAAUCUCGUUGAAUUCGAACUAGGAUGCCGGUUAGGGCUGCAUACCCCGACUUAAAGCAAUCAAUUUUUAACGCGAUCGUGAUUAAUCUUUCAACAAACCAAUCAGGAAUUGCCGGUAGGUUUCGUCAGGGUUGUUUUCGGCAGGGCAUCCAGUUUCAACCCAAUUUGAGAUAAAUAAGUUCAUACUGGCGUACUUAAACCAUUCAAUCGAUGAUUGUUAUUCUGCGGUGCUUAUCGAUAGUUCGUCAUUUUCUCCAUUGGGGCGCCGCGGUAUUUGUUGCCAUGGUAAGUGUUUAGUAUAAAUACGACGCUAGAAAGGUAAAGCAUGCUUAUAUCCUUAAUCUCUUGGUAACUUAUCUUCAUUGAUUCUAAAACUGUUUCCUUACUUGUAAUUCAUAACUGCAAAAGACUUCAACAUAGUACAUAAAAGCUAUUUUGAAUAUGCUUCAGCAUUCAAAUGUCAUGGGUCUAAUAGAUCUGAAUUUAAAUCUAUGUAUUGUGGAAC